UACGAAGGGGGCUAGCGUUGUUCGGAAUUACUGGGCGUAAAGCGCACGUAGGCGGACAUUUAAGUCAGGGGUGAAAUCCCAGAGCUCAACUCUGGAACUGCCUUUGAUACUGGGUGUCUGGAGUAUGGAAGAGGUGAGUGGAAUUCCGAGUGUAGAGGUGAAAUUCGUAGAUAUUCGGAGGAACACCAGUGGCGAAGGCGGCUCACUGGUCCAUUACUGACGCUGAGGUGCGAAAGCGUGGGGAGCAAACAAG
rnacentral:rRNA from 1 species